rnacentral:piRNA from 1 species
UNGCUCAAGGGUUCCAAAAGUCUAAAAUCC